UGCCGCCAGCCUGCCCCGAGUGCUGCAGUGCUGCUGGGGCCGGGCUCACCUGCUGCGUCAGACUGGAGCCGAGCGCGUUUGUGGAUUGCCGUCGAUGAUCCGUCUGGACUCGCGCAGCGCCUUUGACACCGUCCCGCAUUACGUCCUUAUCUCGCCGUUGGAGAAAUAUGGCUUUCAAGGCUGGGAUGGAUGAAAUAUGGCUUUAUCACGGGAUAAAGAAGCCGUCAGCCCGUGGCUCGGGCAGCUGUGCUCUGCUGGGUAGAGCUGGCUGGAGGGCCGGGCCCGCAGGGUGUGCUGCAUGGCGUUACAACCAGCUGGCCACCGGUCACCAGCGGGGUUCCCCGGGGGCGAUACUGGAGCCCGUCCUGCUCAGUAUCUUUAUUGAUUGUUUAUUUGGAUGAGAGAAUUGAGUGCACAAGUUCAGAGAAGGGCAACGAAGCUGUGAAGGGUCUGGAGCACAAAUCUCAUGGGGCAUGGCUGAGGAAACUGGGAUGGUUCAAUCUGGAGAAGAGGCUCAGGAGAGACCUUAUCAUUCUCUGCAACUGCCUGAGAGGAGGUUGUGGAGAGGCGCUCAAAGCCAGGUAUUUGCCAGUGCUGUCUGUCAGGUGGGACACAAGGAUUUUCAGCUCCUCUAAAACAGGCUCACCUAUUUCCAAGUAGAGUGUGGAGCUGCUCACUGCAGUCAGCUUUGGUGACACUAAUGGGGACCUUUGCUGUUGAGGAGGUGGCCAGGGCACAUCCCCUCAGCAGAACGGGAAAACUGAAUGCGUAAAGCCAAUCCUUCCUUGUUAUAAUCUUCUUCAUCUGUCUGCUGAACAAAUGUGAUUAAAAUGAAAGGUAAAAUUAGUGGAAAUGAUAGCAUUUCAAUUUAAUAUAAUAGUUUUGUUCACAUUUGUAUGUUUACUGUUAUUAAGACGUGCGUAAGUGCUUGUAGCACAGCCAAAGCCACCAGCUGCCAAGAACAGGGUCGGGCCAGAUGUAGAGUGGGUGUGAGCCAAGGCACAGUGCCUUUGGCACCAUGGAAGGGCACAGCUCGCCCAGCUGGGAGCCAAGUGCCUCUGUGUGAGCCUGGCAUUAAUCACUUCAGGGCCCAAAACCCCAGACAGGGAAUGUUCAGGCUGUGGUUUCACAGUGGGGAGUUCUGGCUCAAGGGGUUCCCAUUCUCCUCCCAUCCCUCCUGAGGGCCAAGGGUUGCUGCUGUGCUCGUCUUCCCCAGGUUCAACUUGCUGUGGUCCACCAUUCUGGAUGGUCGUUGGCUUUCCAUGCUCAGGGUAAGCUCACUGAGGAGGUGACCUGAUGGAAAACCAAGCUAUGGGCCAGACUGGCAGCUAGGUCUGGCUUAAAAUCCCACAGUAACUGCGUGGAAAAGUCUCCCUUCCUUUUGUGUGAAGCUGCUCUCCAGCUGGAUGGUGUGGGCUGGCAGUGUGCACACAGCCAGAGGCAUGCUGCAGGGAUGGAGAGCAGGAACGGCAUGGGAGAGAGGGAGGGAGGCCAGGGUGCCCUGCAGUGAUACUGCUGGGGAAGCCUUUCAGCUGGAGAUUAGCAGCAGGGGAAAAAAUGGAGAUUUCGGGGUUACCCACGACAAAUACAACCUUAACCACCCACAAGCCAUUGCAGAGACAUCUCACAGGACUUGUGGUGCCAGUGGUGGUAGCUUCUUGCAAGGAGUCAAGCCACAUUGCUGAUGCUCUGGAGCAGGGAGUGAGAUGAGAGGCUGAGCUUGUGCUGAGGGAAAUUGGCUCAGAAGAGCCUUUUGUUUUUUUGCUGGCUCACCUGGUUUCUCUCCACUUAAGGUUUCCUCGAAUAAACACCUUGGUUUGCUAAUAGAA